rnacentral:rRNA from 1 species
CCCUUAGAUGUCCUGGGCCGCACGCGCGCUACAAUGACUCACUCAGAAAGUUUUUCCUGAUCCGGAAGGAUUCGGGUAAUCUUCAUAGCAUGAGUCGUGUUAGGGAUCGAUCUUUGCAAUUAUAGAUCUUGAACGAGGAAUGCCUAGUAAGUGCAGCUCAUCAGGCUGUACUGAUUACGUCCCUGCCCUUUGUACACACCGCCCGUCGCUCCUACCGAUUGAGUGGUCCGGUGAACCUUCUGGAUUAAGCAGCAAUGCUUGAGGAGUUAGGUAAACCUUAUCACUUAGAGGAAGGAGAAGUCGUAACA